rnacentral:rRNA from 1 species
GUAAAUAAUUAAGGGCGUAUGGUGGAUGCCUAGGCUCUCAGAGGCGAAGAAGGACGUGAUAAGCUGCGAAAAGCUCCGUUUAGGUGCAAAUAACCUUUGAUGCGGAGAUCUCCGAAUGGGAUAACCCAAUAUGUUGAAGACAUAUUAUACCGUAAGGUAGGCAAACGCAGGGAACUGAAACAUCUAAGUACCUGCAGGAGAAGAAAACAAACGUGAUUCCCCCAGUAGCGGCGAGCGACCGGGGAAAAGCCCAAACCGUUAUUGUUUCGGCAUUAACGGGGUAGUAGGACUGCAAGCUUGAUGAAAUAAAUGAAAUGGAACACCUUGGAAAAUGUGAUCACAGAGGGUGAUAAUCCCGUACAUGCAAGUUUAUGAAUCAUAGCAGACUCCUGAGUAAGUCGGGACACGUGUAAUCCUGACCGAAUCCGCCGGGACCAUCCGGCAAGGCUAAAUACUCCUGAGAGACCGAUAGUGAACCAGUACCGUGAGGGAAAGGUGAAAAGCACUUCGAACAGAAGAGUGAAAUAGUCCCUGAACCCAUACGCCUACAAGCAGUCGGAGCCGCUUCGUGCGGUGACGGCGUGCCUUUUGCAUAAUGAGCCUACGAGUUACUCAUCACCAGCGAGGUUAAGUACUUCAGGUACGUAAGCCGAAGCGAAAGCGAGUCUGAAUAGGGCGUCAAGUUGGUGGUGGUAGACGCGAAACCUUAGUGAUCUACCCAUGGGCAGGGUGAAGGUUUGGUAACACAAACUGGAGGCCCGAACCGGUAAACGUUGAAAAGUUUUCGGAUGACCUGUGGGUAGGGGUGAAAGGCCAAUCAAACUGGGAAAUAGCUCGUACUCUCCGAAAUGCAUUUAGGUGCAGCCUCUGUUGUUUUGUUCUAGAGGUAGAGCUACUGAUUGGAUGCGAGGGCUUCACCGCCUAUCAAAUCCGGCCAAACUCCGAAUGCUAGAACAUGAAGACAGGGAGUGAGCCAGCGGGUGCUAAGGUCCGUUGACGAAAGAGGGAGAACUCAGACCAUCAGCUAAGGUCCCCAAUUGUAUGCUAAGUUGGAAUAAAAACGGGGUGGGACUGCUUAGACAGCUAGGAUGUUGGCUUGGAAGCAGCCAUUCAUUUAAAGAGUGCGUAACAGCUCACUAGUCGAGCGGUCCUGCAUGGAUAAUACGCGGGCAUAAGCAUAUAACCGAAGCUAUGGGAUUGUAGAUGAUACAAUCGGUAGGAGAGCAUUCCAUUCAGCGUAGAAGCAGUACCGUGAGGUAUUGUGGAGCGGAUGGAAAAGCAAAUGUAGGCAUAAGUAACGAUAAUGCGGGUGAGAACCCCGCACGCCGAAAGAUCAAGGAUUCCCCGGCAAUGUCAAUCAUCCGGGGGUAAGUCGGAUCCUAAGGGUAAGCCGAGUGGCGAUCCCGAUGGCAAACAGGUUAAUAUUCCUGUACUGAUCAUAACUGCGAUGCAGCGACGCAGAGGUGACACUGCUGCGUACUGACGGAAUAGUACGUUGAAACCCGUAUUCUUUGAUACCGGUAGUGAAGCACGCCGGUAGAGAUGAAAGGUGAUAGUACCGCAAUGCUUCGGUUGCGCGGAUAAUGCAGGUAAGCUGACUGCCAAGAAAACCUGCUAAGCUUCAGGUAAUGAUCAUCCGUACUGUAAACGGACACACGUGAUCAGGUAGAAAAUACUAAGGCGCUCGAGAGAUUCAUGGUUAAGGAACUAGGCAAAAUGGUCCUGUAACUUCGGGAUAAAGGACGCUCUUGUGAAAGAGCCGCAGAUAAUAGGCCCAGGCGACUGUUUACCAAAAACACAUGGCUAUGCUAAUUCGCAAGAAGAUGUAUAUGGCCUGACACCUGCCCGGUGCCGGAAGGUUAAGAGGAGAGCUCAGAGGCAACUCGAAGGUUUGAAUUGAAGCCCCGGUAAACGGCGGCCGUAACUAUAACGGUCCUAAGGUAGCGAAAUUCCUUGUCGGGUAAGUUCCGACCUG